rnacentral:rRNA from 1 species
AUUGAACGCUGGCGGCAGGCCUAACACAUGCAAGUCGAGCGGAUGAAGGGAGCUUGCUCCUGGAUUCAGCGGCGGACGGGUGAGUAAUGCCUAGGAAUCUGCCUGGUAGUGGGGGAUAACGUCCGGAAACGGGCGCUAAUACCGCAUACGUCCUGAGGGAGAAAGUGGGUGAUCUUCGGACCUCACGCUAUCAUAUGAGCCUAGGUCGGAUUAGCUAGUUGGUGGGGUAAAGGCCUACCAAGGCGACGAUCCGUAACUGGUCUGAGAGGAUGAUCAGUCACACUGGAACUGAGACACGGUCCCGACUCCUACGGGAGGCAGCAGUGGGGAAUAUUGGACGAGGGGCGAAAGCCUGAUCCAGCCAUGCCGCGUGUGUGAAGAAGGUCUUCGGAUUGUAAAGCACUUUAAGUUGGGAGGAAGGGCAGUAAGUUAAUACCUUGCUGUUUUGACGUUACCAACAGAAUAAGCACCGGCUAACUUCGUG